GAUGGUACAGCUUUAUAAAUAAAUAGUGCUGCGAUUGAGGGAUCACAUUCAUUAGAAUCAAUUGUCGCUGCGAUGAAGUGGUUUUCGAUUUUGGUUCCCCUACUGGCGUUUACUUUCCUCGUCGAAUUCGGAUAUGCUGCAACAUACCUGGUAACAUGAGAAACGAACUUUAUUGGAAUAGAGAGGCACGCCAAUGGAUUUAUGUCCCAACUUUUACCCAAUUAACCUUAUCGACUGACAACAUUAACGUUAACGGAGACUGCCAUGGCUGCCUAGUAUACACGGAAGGAAACUUGUCUAUUUUAUUAAGGAACGUUCCUAUAUAUAGGUGAAAUAAAAUUAUAAGUAUUAACU